CAGAAUUUCUACAAGCUUCCAGAAUGCAAUAAGAUAAAGCAGUAAAGGCAUGUCAGGAAGCAUAUGUGGAAAGAAAAACAGAGUUAUGUUUUGGGUUAACCUGAAUGCAGAUUCCGUCUCCACAGAUUCCGCCUGGCCUGAUUUCAGAUGGUGAUGAGGAGGUGUACAGGAGCAAGAUAGAUCAGCUGGUUGAGUGGUGUCGCAGCAAAAACCUUGCACUCAACAGUCAGUAAGACCAAGGAAUUGAUUGUGGACUUCAGGAAGGGGAAAUCGAGGGAACAUACACCAGUCCUCAUCAAGGGAUCAGAAGUGGAAAGGGUUCCACUCAUCAGAGAAAUGCUGAAAUGAAACAACUUAAAUAGAUAGAAUGAAAAUCAUUGAAGAGGGAGGGCACCGGAGACAGAUGGUCAGCAUUUGAGGAGAAAGUUCAGAAGGAAUUGAACCAAGUAACAUUCACAACAUCUUCAAAAGGCAAAGCCUCAAGUCAAGUCAAGUGUUAACUACAUACAUGUAUAUAACGUAUAUAACUAUAUAAUGUAUAGAGAAACAAGGCAACCUUUCUCUGAGCCAGGGUGUAAAGCACAAAACACAUGAUAAGUUAAGAAGGCAAAGAUAAAAUCUACAGAUGAAUCACCCAUAAAUAACGAACUAAAGUGCAUUGAUAUUAAAUAUUGUGAAGUAUGGAACAGACCAACAAAAAAUACAAAAAGGUGCCAUCCAUCUUUAAGAGCCCCCACCACUCAAGACAUGCCCUCUUCCUAUCACUACCAUUAGAGAAGAUGUACAAGAGCCAAAAGACACAUACUCAUUGUUUUAGGAACAACUUAAUCCCCUCCACCAUCAGAUUUCCAAUCAGUCAAGUCACUUUUAUUGUCAUUUCGACCAUAACUGCUGGUACAGUACAUAGUAAAAAUGAGACAACGUUUUUCAGGACCAUGGUGUUACAUGACACAGUACAAAAAAACUAGACUGAACUACACAAAAAAAAACAGAGAAAGCUACACUAGACUACAGACCUACACUGGACCACAUAAAGUGCACAAAAACAGUGCAGGCAUUACAAUAAAUAAUAAACAGGCAGUAGGGCAAGGUGUCAGUCCAGGCUUUGGGUAUUGAGGAGUCUGACAGCUCGGGGGAAGAAACUGUUACAUAGUCCGGUCGUGAGAGCCCGAAUGCUUUGGAGCCUUUUCCCAGACGGCAGGAGGGAGAAGAGUUUGUAUGAGGGGUGCACGGGGUCCUUCAUAAUGUUGUUCAUUUUACAGAUGCAGCGUGUAGUGUAAAUGUCUGUGAUGGCGGGAAGAGAGACCCUGAUGAUCUUCUCAGCUGACCUAUUGGCUGCAGGGUCUUGCGAUCCGAGACGGUGCAAUUUCUGAACCAGGCAGUGAUACAUUUGCUCAGGAUGCUCUCAAUAUAACCCCUGUGGAAUGUG